rnacentral:rRNA from 1 species
GAUGAACGCUGGCGGCGUGCCUAAUACAUGCAAGUCGAGCGAACAGACGAGGAGCUUGCUCCUCUGACGUUAGCGGCGGACGGGUGAGUAACACGUGGAUAACCUACCUAUAAGACUGGGAUAACUUCGGGAAACCGGAGCUAAUACCGGAUAAUAUAUUGAACCGCAUGGUUCAAUAGUGAAAGACGGUUUUGCUGUCACUUAUAGAUCGAUCCGCGCCGCAUUAGCUAGUUGGUAAGGUAACGGCUUACCAAGGCGACGAUGCGUAGCCGACCUGAGAGGGUGAUCGGCCACACUGGAACUGAGACACGGUCCAGACUCCUACGGGAGGCAGCAGUAGGGAAUCUUCCGCAAUGGGCGAAAGCCUGACGGAGCAACGCCGCGAGAGUGAUGAAGGUCUUCGGAUCGUAAAACUCUGUUAUUAGGGAAGAACAAAUGUGUAAGUAACUAUGCACGUCUUGACGGUACCUAAUCAGAAAGCCACGGCUAACUACGUG